rnacentral:rRNA from 1 species
AGCCUGAACGCUGGCGGCGUGGCUAAGACAUGCAAGUCGUACGGAGGUAGCAAUACCUCAGUGGCGAACGGGUGAGUAAUGAAUCGCUAACGUGCCCUGGACUUCGGGAUAGCUAUCCGAAAAGGGUAGGUAAUACCGGGUGAUAUACCCUUUCCGCAUGGAAGGGGUCUCAAAGGUCCGCCGGUCUUCGGUGGAUGGUCUGGGAGCGGGCGAUUUCGUAUCAGCUAGUUGGUGGGGUAACGGCCCACCAAGGCGACGACGCGUAGCCGGACUGAGAGGUUGGCCGGCCACAUUGGGACUGAGACACUGCCCAGACUCCUACGGGGGGCUGCAGUAACGAAUCUUCCGCAAUGCACGAAAGUGUGACGGAGCGACGCCGCGUGGAGGACGAAGUUCUUCGGAAUGUAAACUCCUGUCAGGGGAAGAAGUUCUGAUCUACCCAGAGGAAGAGGCGGCUAACUCUGCGCCAGCAGCCGC